rnacentral:rRNA from 1 species
CUUAACUGUGCGGAUUCCGGGGACACUACUAGACUUGAGACCGGGAGAGAUUAGAGGUACUUGCAGGGGAGCGGUGAAAUGUUGUAAUCCUGCAGGGACCACCAGUGGCGAAGGCGUCUAAUCAUAACGGCUCUGACGGUGAGGAACGAAACCCUGGGGCGCAAACGGGAUUAGAUACCCCGGUAGUCCAGGGCGUAAACGCUGCUGACUUGGUGUUGGAGAUCCUACGAGGGUGUCCAGUGCUGGCGCGAAGGUAUUAAGUCAGCCGCCUGGGGAGUACGGUCGCAAGACUGAACUCAAAUGAAU